UGGACCUCUUUGUCGCCAUAUGCGACAGU
rnacentral:sRNA from 1 species